ACUAUCCUGCGACGCAGUGCAACAAACAGCGUGUAUGAUGCAGACGGAAGAGGAAACAUCUUCCAAACAAUGUCAACUGGAAAGAAGCCAGACUCUAAAAUUUUGGAAAAUUGAGGGCGAUUGGACCAUACCCACCGUGAAUGCUGGUAAAUUAAUCCCAAAUGAUGGCCCCUUUGCUUAUCAGCGUUCUGGAGGCGUUGCUGUGAGCUCUGAAAUCCUCCUGCUCAGGUCACAGAUAACAGGCUGUCUGUUCGGGAAGACAGGCCUUCCUGGAAAGGACAGGACAGAAACCUUAUGCUAUGGCUAACUAUGGUAACUGCUUUUUAAUACAUCGUACUACUUUUUCCCCCCUGGAAGAAAUUGUGCACUAAAAAUAAUUAAACCUUUAUGUUUUGUUCUAAGGGAAAUGCUUUAGCCUUAUAGUGGUGGCAUUGAAGAUUUACUGUAAAAUACACAUUGACUGCACAUAAUCAUAUAGUGUA